rnacentral:rRNA from 1 species
AUUGAGCGCUGGCGGCAGGCCUAACACAUGCAAGUCGAACGGUAACAGGAAACAGCUUGCUGUUUCGCUGACGAGUGGCGGACGGGUGAGUAAUGUCUGGGAAACUGCCUGAUGGAGGGGGAUAACUACUGGAAACGGUAGCUAAUACCGCAUAACGUCGCAAGACCAAAGAGGGGGACCUUCGGGCCUCUUGCCAUCGGAUGAGCCCAGAUGGGAUUAGCUAGUAGGUGUGGUAACGGCUCACCUAGGCGACGAUCCCUAGCUGGUCUGAGAGGAUGACCAGCCACACUGGAACUGAGACACGGUCCAGACUCCUACGGGAGGCAGCAGUGGGGAAUAUUGCACAAUGGGCGCAAGCCUGAUGCAGCCAUGUCGCGUGUAUGAAGAAGGCCUUCGGGUUGUAAAGUACUUUCAGCGGGGAGGAAGGGAGUAAAGUUAAUACCUUUGCUCAUUGACGUUACCCGCAGAAGAAGCACCGGCUAACUCCGUGCCAGCAGCCGCCGUAA